AUUGAACGCUGGCGGCAGGCCUAACACAUGCAAGUCGAGCGGAUGAAGGGAGCUUGCUCCUGGAUUCAGCGGCGGACGGGUGAGUAAUGCCUAGGAAUCUGCCUGGUAGUGGGGGAUAACGUCCGGAAACGGGCGCUAAUACCGCAUACGUCCUGAGGGAGAAAGUGGGGGAUCUUCGGACCUCACGCUAUCAGAUGAGCCUAGGUCGGAUUAGCUAGUUGGUGGGGUAAAGGCCUACCAAGGCGACGAUCCGUAACUGGUCUGAGAGGAUGAUCAGUCACCCUGGAACUGAGAACCGGUCCCGACUCCUAAGGGAGGCAGCAGGGGGGAAUAUUGGACAAAGGGCGAAAGCCUGAUCCAGCCAUGCCGCGUGGGUGAAGAAGGUCUUCGGAUUGUAAAGCCCUUUAAGUUGGGAGGAAGGGCAGUAAGUUAAUACCUUGCUGUUUUGACGUUACCAACAGAAUAAGCACCGGCUAACUUCGUG
rnacentral:rRNA from 1 species